GACGAACGCUGGCGGCGUGCUUAACACAUGCAAGUCGAACGGUAAGGCCCUUCGGGUACACGAGUGGCGAACGGGUGAGUAACACGUGGGUGAUCUGCCCUGCACUUCGGGAUAAGCCUGGGAAACUGGGUCUAGUACCGGAUAGGACUCCUGGCUUCAUGGUUGGGGGUGGAGAGAUUUUACGGUGGGGGAUGGGCCCGCGGCCUAUCAGCUGGUUGGUGGGGUAAUGGCCUACCAAGGCGACGACGGGUAGCCGGCCUGAGAGGGUGACCGGUCACACUGGGACUGAGAUACGGACCAGACUCCUACGGGAGGCAGCAGUGGGGAAUAUUGCACAAUGGGCGCAAGCCUGAUGCAGCGACGCCGCGUGAGGGAUGACGGCCUUCGGGUUGUAAACCUCUUUCAGCUAUGACGAAGCGCAAGUGACGGUAGUAGCAGAAGAAGGACCGGCCAACUACGUGCCAGCAGCCGCGGUAA
rnacentral:rRNA from 1 species